UACGUAGGGGGCAAGCGUUGUCCGGAAUCAUUGGGCGUAAAGAGCGUGUAGGCGGCUUGGUAAGUCCGCUGUGAAAGUCCAGGGCUCAACCCUGGAAUGCCGGUGGAAACUGUCAAGCUUGAGUCCGGAAGAGGCGAGUGGAAUUCCUGGAGUAGCGGUGAAAUGCGUAGAGACCCGGAGGAACACCAGUGGCGAAGGCGGCUUCCUGGUCUGCAACUGACGCUGUGGCGCGAAAGCUAGGGGAGCAAACGGG
rnacentral:rRNA from 1 species